rnacentral:rRNA from 1 species
ACGAACGCUGGCGGCGUGCUUAACCCAUGCAAGUCGAACGGAAAGGCCCUGCUUUUGUGGGGUGCUCGAGUGGCGAACGGGUGAGUAACACGUGAGUAACCUGCCCUUGACUUUGGGAUAACUUCAGGAAACUGGGGCUAAUACCGGAUAGGAGCUCCUGCUGCAUGGUGGGGGUUGGAAAGUUUCGGCGGUUGGGGAUGGACUCGCGGCUUAUCAGCUUGUUGGUGGGGUAGUGGCUUACCAAGGCUUUGACGGGUAGCCGGCCUGAGAGGGUGACCGGCCACAUUGGGACUGAGAUACGGCCCAGACUCAUACGGGAGGCAGCAGUGGGGAAUAUUGCACAAUGGGCGGAAGCCUGAUGCAGCAACGCCGCGUGCGGGAUGACGGCCUUCGGGUUGUAAACCGCUUUCGCCUGUGACGAAGCGUGAGUGACGGUAAUGGGUAAAGAAGCACCGGCUAACUACGU